GAUGAACGCUGGCGGCGUGCCUAAUACAUGCAAGUAGAACGCUGAAGGAAGGAUCUUGCUCUUUCCGGAUGAGUUGCGAACGGGUGAGUAACGCGUAGGUAACCUGCCUGGUAGCGGGGGAUAACUAUUGGAAACGAUAGCUAAUACCGCAUAACAGUAGAUGUUGCAUGAUAUCUACUUAAAAGGUGCAAUUGCACCACUACCAGAUGGACCUUCGUUGUAUUAGCUAGUUGGUGAGGUAACGGCUCACCAAGGCGACGAUACAUAGCCGACCUGAGAGGGUGAGCGGCCACACUGGGGCGGAGACACGGCCCAGACUCAUACGGGAGGCAGCAGGAGGGAAUCUUCGGCAAUGGACGGAAGUCUGACCGAGCAACGCCGCGUGAGGGAAGAAGGUUUUCGGAUCGUAAAGCUCUGUUGUAAGAGAAGAACGAGUGUGAGAGUGGAAAGUUCACGCUGUGACGGUAUCUUACCAGAAAGGGACGGCUAACUACGUG
rnacentral:rRNA from 1 species